rnacentral:rRNA from 1 species
UUGGAGGGCAGUCUGGUGCCAGCAGCCGCGGUAAUUCCAGCUCCAAUAGCGUAUAUUAGAGUUGUUGCAGUUAAAAAGCUCGUAGUUGAAUUUCGGGAUUCAUCCGUUGGUCGGGCUUCACGGUCCGUACUGGUGUGAUGGGUUCCUACCUUCUGAAUAACCGGCAUGCCAUUAAUUUGGUGCGCCGGGGAAGCAGAACUAUUACCUUGAAAAAAUUAGAGUGCUUAAAGCAGGCAAGUGCCUGAAUAGGUUAGCAUGGAAUAAUAAAAUAGGACGGCAUGGUUCUAUUUUGUUGGUUUCUAGGAUCACCGUAAUGAUUAAUAGGGAUAGUUGGGGGCAUUAGUAUUCAAUUGUCAGAGGUGAAAUUCUUGGAUUUAUUGAAGACUAACUUCUGCGAAAGCAUUUGCCAAGGAUGUUUUCAUUAAUCAAGAACGAAAGUUAGGGGAUCGAAGACGAUCAGAUACCGUCGUAGUCUUAACCAUAAACUAUGCCGACUAGGGAUCGGACGAUGUUAAUUUUUUAAUGACUCGUUCGGCGCCUUACGGGAAAC